ACGCUGGCGGCAGGCUUAACACAUGCAAGUCGAACGGUAGCAGGAGAAAGCUUGCUUUCUUGCUGACGAGUGGCGGACGGGUGAGUAAUGCUUGGGAAUCUGGCUUAUGGAGGGGGAUAACUACGGGAAACUGUAGCUAAUACCGCGUAAUAUCGAAAGAUUAAAGUGUGGGACCUUCGGGCCACAUGCCAUGGGAUGAGCCCAAGUGGGAUUAGGUAGUUGGUGGGGUAAAGGCCUACCAAGCCUGCGAUCUCUAGCUGGUCUGAGAGGAUGGCCAGCCACACUGGAACUGAGACACGGUCCAGACUCCUACGGGAGGCAGCAGUGGGGAAUAUUACGCAAUGGGGGGAACCCUGACGCAGCCAUGCCGCGUGAAUGAAGAAGGUCUUCGGGUUGUAAAGUUCUUUCGGUAUUGAGGAAGGUUGAUGUGUUAAUAGUACAUCAAAUUGACGUUAAAUACAGAAGAAGCACCGGCUAACUCCGUGCCAGCAGCCGCGGUAAUACGGAGGGUGCGAGCGUUAAUCGGAAUAACUGGGCGUAAAGGGCACGCAGGCGGUUAUCUAAGUGAGGUGUGAAAGCCCCGGGCUUAACCUGGGAAUUGCAUUUCAGACUGGGUAACUAGAGUACUUUAGGGAGGGGUAGAAUUCCACGUGUAGCGGUGAAAUGCGUAGAGAUGUGGAGGAAUACCGAAGGCGAAGGCAGCCCCUUGGGAAUGUACUGACGCUCAUGUGCGAAAGCGUGGGGAGCAAACAGGAUUAGAUACCCUGGUAGUCCACGCUGUAAACGCUGUCGAUUUGGGGAUUGGGCUUAGAGCUUGGUGCCCGUAGCUAACGUGAUAAAUCGACCGCCUGGGGAGUACGGCCGCAAGGUUAAAACUCAAAUGAAUUGACGGGGGCCCGCACAA
rnacentral:rRNA from 1 species